rnacentral:rRNA from 1 species
CAGUAGCCGCGGUAAUGCGAAGGGGGCUAGCGUUGUUCGGAAUUACUGGGCGUAAAGCGCACGUAGGCGGAUAUUUAAGUCAGGGGUGAAAUCCCAGAGCUCAACUCUGGAACUGCCUUUGAUACUGGGUAUCUUGAGUAUGGAAGAGGUGAGUGGAAUUCCGAGUGUAGAGGUGAAAUUCGUAGAUAUUCGGAGGAACACCAGUGGCGAAGGCGGUUCACUGGUCCAUUACUGACGCUGAGGUGCGAAAGCGUGGGGAGCAAACAGGAUUAGAUACCCCGGUAGUCCCUGUCUCUUAUAC